rnacentral:lncRNA from 1 species
UUAUUUAAUUAAUUAUGUUAUGUUGAUUUAGUCAUAAUGGACCUAGUCUUUAGGAUGUGUUUAGGUGGCUAAGAAAGUGGUGAUUGUGUUGCUAGAAUCAUGGGUUAGUGGGUUAAUGGUGAUGUGGGAUAGUGGGUUCAUUAUACACAUGUAAUGCCUAUUUAUAGGCUCUUUAUCUUUAAUUGAAUAUUAAGCCAAGCAUUCAUUUUUUAUUAUCAGUGGUAUCAGAGCCUAAACACCCUAAAAUUCCUUAAUCCCUUUCAAUUUACUUGUACGCAGCCGAGAGUGCAAGACAGCCCAAAUAAUCCAAGCCACACAAACCAACCGACCUGUCACUCGUGCACUUUUACAAUCGAGAGAAAGAACCAAAAAUCCCAAAUCCUCCUGCACUUUCCAUCGUGACCAUCCGAAAGGAGAAACCCAUCCCAAUCUUUUUCAAAUUCCAGUCAUCGUGAGCUGCAGAGAGAAUCGAGAGAAACCCACUCAAAUUCCAUCAAAUCCCGUUUUUUUAUCUUGAACAAAGAACCUUGUCCCUGCUGUCGUGAGCAAAGAGAGAAACCCACUCAAAUUCCAUCAAAUCCCGUUUUUUUUAUCUUGAACAAAGAACCUUGUCCCUGCUGUCGUGAGCAAAGAGAGAAACCCUCCAUUUUUCAUCGCGAGCAGACGAGAGUAACGAGAGAAUCAAUGGCAGAAUCAACCUUUGUUCAAGCAGCCAUCCCACGUUUUGAUGGUCAUUAUGACCAUUGGAGCAUGUUGAUGGAGAAUUUCCUUCGGUCCAAGGAGUAUUGGCCGAUUGUUGAAGCUGGAAUUGAAGCUCCAACAGUGACUGCAGUCAUGACCGAGGCUCAAAAAACAGAGCUGGAAGGGAGAAGGCUAAAGGAUUUGAAGGCGAAAAAUUAUUUGUUUCAAGCAAUCGAACGUCCCAUUUUGGAAAAAAUUCUUAGCAAAGAAACUUCCAAAGACAUAUGGGACUCCAUGAAGCUGAAAUAUCAAGGAUCGACAAGGGUGAAGCGUGCACAACUUCAGGCCUUGCGACGAGACUUUGAGACUUUGCAGAUGCAAAUUGGGGAACCAGUCACAAAUUAUUGUUCCAGGACGAUGGAGAUAUGCAACAAGAUGAGGUUUCAUGGUGAGAAGAUGGAUGAUAAUGUGAUUGUUGAAAAGAUUUUGCGUUCACUGUCCCCAAAAUUUGAUUAUGUGGCUUGUUCAAUCGAAGAGUCCCGGGAUGUGGAAAAACUCUCCAUUGAUGAGCUGCAGAGCUCACUGCUUGUGCAUGAGCAGAAAAUGCUUCGGGGCUCACAUACAAAUGAGCAGGCCCUAAAAGCUACAAAUUAUUCUAAUUCCUCAAAUUUCCGAGGAAGAGGCAGAGGGAGAGGCAGAGAUGGGAACCGAGACAGGGGAGAUAAUUACAGAAACCAAUUUAGGGCUGUGGAUAAUUUUGGCAGAGGCAAGGGAAAUUUUAGGGGUGUUGAGGGGAACCGAGGAAAUUUUAGGGGUGUUGAGGGUCAAAACAGAGGCAAAGGUGACAAGUCUAAGAUCGAAUGUUUUCGAUGUCAUAAAUUUGGGCAUUACCGAUCUGAGUGUUAUGCCAGGAUACCUAGUGACAAAGCUGAAAUGUCACAUUUUGCCGAGAGAAGGGAAGAGGAAACUCUGCUAAUGGCUGUGGAGACAACCCAGAAGCAGAAGCAGGGGUCUCGGGAGCAGCAGCAGGGGUCUGAAAUUUGGUUUGUGGAUACGGGCUGCAGCAAUCACAUGUGUGGGUGUAAGUCUUCUUUUAUUUACUUAAAUGAAGAUUUUAAUUCGACAGUAAGUUUUGGUGAUAACUCUACUGUGAAUGCAUUAGGAAAGGGUGAUAUUGAGAUUAGAACCAAGAAUGGUUUUGUAGAAACAAUUUCUGAUGUGCUUUAUGUACCUGAUUUAAAAAGCAAUUUAUUGAGUGCUGGUCAAUUGCAAGAAAAGGGGUAUGAGAUGAUUAUAAAGAAUGGUGUUUGUGAAAUUUAUGAUCCUUUAAGAGGGUCAAUUGCUGUAGUGAAAAUGAGUAGGAAUAGGCUGUUUCCAUUAGAAAUUGUGAUAUCACAGCCCUGUUUUAUUGCUGAAAUUGAGAACCCAACAUGGCUUUGGCAUUUCCGUUAUGGCCAUUUGAAUUUUAGUGGCCUAAAAACUCUUCAGCAGAAGAAUAUGGUGAAAGGGCUUCCUGAAAUUGACAUUCCUGCACAAAUAUGUGAAGAUUGUGUUGUUAGCAAACAACAUCGUUCUCCAUUCCCUCAAGGCAAAUCGUGGAGAGCAAAGCAUGCUCUUGAAUUGGUGCACUCGGACAUUUGUGGACCGAUUAGUCCAUCUUCAAAUGGAGGUAAAAAGUAUCUAAUCACCUUCAUUGACGAUUUUACUCGGAAGACAUGGGUUUAUUUUUUACAGCACAAGGCGGAAGCUUUUUAUGUGUUUCAAAGCUUUAAAGCUAAAGCUGAAAAUGAGGCGGGGAAGCUCAUUAAGACUCUCCGAACAGACCGUGGUGGUGAAUUUUGUUCAACUGAAUUUGAUGUUUUUUGUGGAGAGCAUGGCAUUCGCAAGGAAUUAACAGCUAGCUAUACACCACAGCAGAAUGGUGUAUCCGAAAGAAAAAACAGAACAAUCCUCAACAUGGUGAGGAGCUUGCUAGCUAGAGGAAAAAUCCCAAAGGAAUUUUGGCCGGAAGCAGUAAAUUGGAGUAUUCAUGUGCUGAAUAGAAGCCCUACUUUUUCAGUCCAGAACAUGACACCUGAAGAAGCAUGGAGUGGGAGGAAACCUAAUGUUGAGUAUUUCAAAUUUUUUGGGUGCAUAGCCUAUGCACAUGUCCCGGAUGAGAAGAGAAAGAAGCUAGAUGAUAAGGGUGAAAAAUGUGUGUUUCUCGGCAUGAGUGAGUGCUCCAAAGCCUAUAAAUUGUACAAUCCUCUUACAAAAAGGAUUGUGACCAGCCGUGAUGUUGUGUUUGAUGAAGUGAAAACUUGGGAUUGGGAUAGGCAGCAGCCUAUACAUGCUGAUUUGGAAAUGGACACUGAUUUGGAGCCAACAGCAGCAGCCAUUUUGCAGCAGCCUUGCUCAGAAACAACUGCUGAAAUUCACUCAACAACAGGAGCAGCUGCUGGAAAUUUCCCACCCACGGCAGUAGCUCCACCUUGUCCUCGUAUCCGUAAAAGGCCUACUUGGAUGGAAGAUUAUGAGGUAAAUGGAAUUGAAGAUCCAGUUACCUAUUUUGCUUUGUUUGCAGAUUGUGAUCCCAUGACCUUUGAAAGUGCUGUCAAAGAAGGAAAAUGGAGAAAAGCAAUGGAUGAUGAAAUUGAUGCUAUUGAAAGAAAUGACACUUGGGAACUUACUGAUCUGCCACCAGGACACAAAUCCAUUAGCGUAAAAUGGAUUUUCAAAACCAAAUUGAAGGCAAAUGGUGAAGUUGAUAAGUAUAAGGCGAGAUUGGUGGUCAAGGGGUAUAAGCAAGAGUAUGGAAUUGAUUAUACGGAGGUCUUUGCUCCUGUUGCAAGACAUGAUACAAUUCGGUUGAUAAUUGCAUUGGCUGCACAGAAUUCAUGGCCUAUUUUCCAGCUUGAUGUCAAAUCGGCAUUCUUGCAUGGAAACUUGGAGGAGCAGGUAUUUGUUGAUCAACCUCUUGGUCAUAUUAAGAUUGGAUGUGAGGAUAAAGUAUAUCGUUUGAAAAAGGCUCUUUAUGGUUUAAAACAAGCUCCACGAGCUUGGUAUAGUCGUAUUGAGUCUUAUUUCUUAAGAGAAGGAUUUCAUAAGUGUCCAUAUGAGCAUUCAUUAUUUGUUAAAAUUGGAGAUGGGGGGAAAUUGCUUAUUGCUUGCUUAUAUGUUGAUGAUCUUUUAUUUACUGGAAAUGAUGCUGAUAUGUUUAAGGAUUUCAAGAGUUCUAUGAUGAUUGAAUUUGAAAUGUCCGAUCUUGGGUUGAUGCAUUACUUUCUUGGCAUAGAGGUGAUGCAAACUGUAAAUGGCAUUUUUAUUUCUCAAAAGAAAUAUGUGCAUGAUAUUCUGGAAAGAUUUCAGAUGAAGGAUUGCAAUCCUGUUAGUACUCCGACUGAAUUUGGUUUGAAGCUCAACAAAGAUCAUGAAGGGAAGAAAGUGGACAACACACUUUACAAGCAAAUUGUUGGCAGUUUAAUGUAUUUAACUGCAACAAGACCUGAUAUUAUGUAUUCUGUAAGUCUAAUCAGCAGGUACAUGGAAAAUCCCACAGAAAUGCACUUGCUAACAGCCAAGAGAAUCCUUCGUUACUUGCAAGGAACUAAGGAUUUUGGGUUGUUCUACAAGAAAGGAGAAAAGAUGGAGCUGGUUGGGUUUACUGACAGCGAUUAUGCAGGUGAUCAAGAUGACAGGAGAAGCACCUCGAGUUUUGUUUUUAUGAUGGGCACAGGUGCGGUUUCGUGGUCUUCGAAAAAGCAACAAAUUGUUACUUUAUCCACCACCGAAGCCGAAUUUAUUGCUGCCACAGCUUGUGCUUGUCAAGCUAUUUGGAUAAGAAGAAUUCUUGAAGAACUACAGUUUCCGCAAAUUGGAGCUACAACGGUAUUUUGUGAUAACAACUCAGCUAUCAAACUCUCCAAGAAUCCGGUGUUACAUGGAGAAGCAAGCACAUUGAUGUGAGAUACUACUUCUUGCGAGAUCUCAAUAAUGAUGGCAUGAUCAAUCUAAUUUAUUGCCGUAGUGAAGAUCAAGUUGCUGACAUACAAACCAAACCUCUUAAACUUGCUGCAUUUGUGAAAUUGCGUGGUUUACUUGGAAUGUGUUCGCAAUCAGCAGUAAUUAAGAGCAUUGAAGAAGGAUGAUUUCUUUUAAACUGAUAUCUGCAGAUUUCAGUUUAAGGGAGGGUGUUAAAGUUUAUUUAUUUAAUUCAUUGUUUUAUUUAAUUAUUUAUGUUAUGUUGAUUUAGUCAUAAUGGACCUAGUCUUUAGGAUGUUUUUAGGUGGCUAAGAAAGUGGUGAUUGUGUUGCUAGAAUCAUGGGUUAGUGGGUUAAUGGUGAUGUGGGAUAGUGGGUUCAUUAUACACUAUGUAAUGCCUAUUUAUAGGCUCUUUAUCUUUAAUUGAAUAUUAAGCCAAGCA